rnacentral:lncRNA from 1 species
UUUCACUACACGAGGCUCUUCGGAUGUGCGGGGUACGCCUUUGCCCAUUUUGUGAAACCGGUGGGUGUCCGGCGGCACGUGGAUUCGAACCCACGACCUCCCGCUGCCGAAGCGGACACUCAACCACGAGGCC